rnacentral:rRNA from 1 species
UACAGAGGGGGCAAGCGUUGUUCGGAAUUACUGGGCGUAAAGGGCGCGUAGGCGGCCCGCUAAGUCGAACGUGAAAUCCCCGGGCUUAACCCGGGAACUGCGUCCGAUACUGGCAGGCUUGAAUCCGGGAGAGGGAUGUGGAAUUCCCGGUGUAGCGGUGAAAUGCGCAGAUAUCGGGAAGAACACCCGUGGCGAAGGCGGCUCUCUGGGACGGUACUGACGCUGAGACGCGAAAGCGUGGGGAGCGAACAGG